rnacentral:rRNA from 1 species
GGGCCUAUACUCUGCCGUCAGCGGCAAGUGAGACGGAACGGGGCGCGGUAAAACGGGUCCGGUCCGUCAUGAUGCCCUGACGAGUAGGAGGGUCGCGGCGGUGAGCGCAGAAGGGUCUGGGCGUGAGCCUGCCUGGAGCCGCCGUCGGUGCAGAUCUUGGUGGUAGUAGCAAAUACUCCAGCGAGGCCCUGGAGGACUGACGUGGAGAAGGGUUUCGUGUGAACAGCCGUUGCACACGAGUCAGUCGAUCCUAAGCCCUAGGAGAAAUCCUAUGUCGAUGAGGUGUAUCGGUCAAAGUGUUAUGUGACAAAUGAGACAUGCCGCACACACCCAUCGGGCGAAAGGGAAUCCGGUUCCUAUUCCGGAACCCGGCAGCGGAACCGUAUACAAUUCGGGCCCUCGCAAGAGAGUUCGUCGGGGUAACCCAAAAUGACCUGGAGACGCCGUCGGGAGAUCCGGGAAGAGUUUUCUUUUCUGUAUAAGCGUUCGAGUUCCCUGGAAACCUCUAGCAGGGAGAUAGGGUUUGGAACGCGAAGAGCACCGCAGUUGCGGCGGUGUCCGGAUCUUCCCCUCGGACCUUGAAAAUCCAGGAGAGGGCCACGUGGAGGUGUCGCGCCGGUUCGUACCCAUAUCC